UAUUGUUCUUCGAUCGAAUAAGAAUUAAUGUUAACGUUAAAUGUUAUUUCAUUUUCUCUCGUUACACGACUACUUAAUAAGUAACGUCGAAAUAUUUGCUCCUGUAAUUUCGUGCUUUAUUAAAAUUACGACGCAUCUUGUCGGUAUAUCAUGCAGAAUAGUUACACUAUCGAGUCUAACAAUGAUUCCACGAUCAAGACUGUGCCUGGUCAGCGUACGCAAGAAGCGCAGACCAUUAACAAUGCGACAGAAAACACUUGCUUAACACCGAACAGGAGUCAAACAUAUUUUGCGGACGAAAAAGUUCUUAUACCGGAUACGGAUAAUGGCAUAUUUAGUUUUAAAAAAUUAUGGGCAUUCACGGGUCCUGGAUUUUUGAUGUCUAUAGCGUAUCUAGAUCCUGGAAAUAUAGAAUCCGAUUUGCAAUCUGGAGUAGCUGCCAAGUAUAAAUUAUUAUGGGUAUUACUUAGUGCAACAAUUUUAGGCCUUGUCAUGCAGAGAUUAAGCGCAAGGCUCGGCGUGGUAACCGGUCUGCAUUUAGCAGAAAUGUGUUACAGACAAUAUAAAAAAGUGCCUAGAUUGAUUUUAUGGAUAAUGAUAGAAAUAGCUAUAAUCGGUAGUGACAUGCAAGAAGUAAUAGGAACAGCCAUUGCUUUAUCUUUAUUGACUAACGGGGCCAUCCCUAUAUGGGGCGGGGUGCUAAUCACGGUAAUCGAUACUUUUACAUUUUUAUUAUUGGACAAAUACGGUUUAAGAAAAUUGGAACUCUUUUUUGGAUUUCUUAUCACGGUCAUGGCUGUUACUUUCGGUUACGAGUAUGUCGUUUCUGCUCCUCCGCAAGGUGAUGUGAUAAGCGGGAUGUUUGUACCUUGGUAUAAACAUUAUGACAGUCAAAUGUUACUGCAAGCUGUGGGAAUUGUUGGUGCGGUCAUAAUGCCGCAUAACUUAUAUCUUCACAGUGCUCUUGUUAAAUCAAGAGAUAUCGAUCGUAGGGAAUAUAAUAAAGUGAAAGAAGCAAAUAUGUAUUACUUCAUCGAAGCUUGCAUCGCGCUUUUGGUUUCUUUCAUAAUUAACGUUUUCGUUGUUGCGGUGUUUGCGCAUGGUCUUUAUGAAAAAACGAACCAAGAAGUUCACGAUCUUUGUGAAAGCAACAACUACACUAUGGGAAUGGAUACGUUUAAACCAGAAAAUACAACUAUUUCAGUAGAUUUAAACAAAGGUGGUAUCUUUCUUGGUUGUGCCUUUGGUGCAGCUGCAAUGUAUAUUUGGGCUGUUGGUAUUUUUGCUGCUGGUCAAUCUUCUACAAUGACUGGGACAUAUGCGGGACAGUUUGCGAUGGAAGGUUUCUUGAACCUCCAGUGGGCACGUUGGAAGCGAGUUCUCUUCACGAGAAUGAUCGCUAUUGUGCCUACUUUCCUCGUUGCAUUCUACAGCGAUAUAAAUAAUUUAACCGGAAUGAAUGAUAUUUUAAACGCUAUUAUGACGCUUCAGUUACCUUUCGCAACGUUACCAACAAUAGCAUUCACCAGUAGCGCUCAAAUAAUGGGUGAAUUUCGGAAUGGAAUAACGAAUAAAGUUGUUGCGACAGCGUUGUCUGCUAUUGUAAUAACUAUAAACAUAUAUUUUGUAAUAAAUACGGUUCAAGAGGAUCUACCGCAUCACUGGACAGUGAUACUUGCCAUUUCUAUAUAUUCUGUCUUGUAUCUUCUAUUUUGUCUUUAUCUGGUAAUUCAUAUGGCUGUAAGCAUGGGUGCAACUUCCCUUAACGAUUGCUGGUUCGUGAAAAAAUACAUUGGCAGUCCUGUAAGUACAACACUCGGAUUAUCAAAUCCUGCUGCAUAUGCAAGUUUCGACAAUGUAUCAAAAACAUCACUAAAUACACAAUUAAGUUUACUUCAUGAAACUACUUUAAAUAAGUUCUAUUUUUUUUUUCUAAAUUUAAAAAGUGUGCAUGUUUAAAACAGUUGCAACAUCGCCCGAGUUCAGCAUUAUUCAUGAUUAUCUAACAGAAGAUCGAAUCCUGCAUUUACUAUUCAAGAAAAUGGGACAGGAAGUUUUUCUAC
rnacentral:misc_RNA from 1 species